AUGAGCGAGGUCUUCGAGGGCUACGAGCGGCAGUACUGCGAGAUCUCCGCCGCCCUCUCCCGCAAGUGCGCCGCCGCCUCCGCCCUCGAUGGCGAGAAGAAGAAGCAGAAGCUGUCCGAGAUCCAGGCGGACGUGCAGGAGUCUGAAUCGCUGAUCAGGAGGAUGGAUUUGGAGGCGCGGAGCCUGCCGCCAACCGUCAAGGCCGGGCUGCUGUCUAAACUGAGGCAGUACAAGUCUGAUCUCAACAACAUCAAGAGCGAGAUCAAGAAGGCCUCGGCGCCUAAUGCCCAACAGGCCACCCGGGAGGAGCUCCUCGACUCCGGCAUGCCGGAUACACUCGGGGCUUCAUCUGAUCAGAGAGGAAGAUUGAUGAUGACAUCAGAAAGGUUAAACCAGUCUUCCGACAGAAUUAGAGAAAGCCAAAUAACAGCACUUGAUACAGAAGAAAUCGGCGUGUCGAUUCUUCAGAACCUUCAUAAUCAACGAGUGACACUGAUGCAUGCUCACAAAACAUUGCAUGGUGUGGACGACUCCAUCGGCAAAAGCAACAAGAUCCUGGCGUCCAUGUCCAAGUGGAACAAGUGGUUUGUCUAG
rnacentral:rRNA from 1 species